rnacentral:rRNA from 1 species
GACGAACGCUGGCGGCGUGCCUAAUACAUGCAAGUUGAGCGCUGAAGGUUGGUACUUGUACCAACUGGAUGAGCAGCGAACGGGUGAGUAACGCGUGGGGAAUCUGCCUUUGAGCGGGGGACAACAUUUGGAAACGAAUGCUAAUACCGCAUAAAAACUUUAAACACAAGUUUUAAGUUUGAAAGAUGCAAUUGCAUCACUCAAAGAUGAUCCCGCGUUGUAUUAGCUAGUUGGUGAGGUAAAGGCUCACCAAGGCGAUGAUACAUAGCCGACCUGAGAGGGUGAUCGGCCACAUUGGGACUGAGACACGGCACAAACUCCUACGGGAGGCAGCAGUAGGGAAUCUUCGGCAAUAGACGAAAGUCUGACCGAGCAACGCCGCGUGAGUGAAGAAGGUUUUCGGAUCGUAAAACUCUGUUGGUAGAGAAGAACGUUGGUGAGAGUGGAAAGCUCAUCAAGUGACGGUAACUACCCAGAAAGGGACGGCUAACUACGUG